CCAGAGAUGGAUUGGUGCCUUCGGGAACUGUGAGACAGGUGCUGCAUGGCUGUCGUCAGCUCGUGUUGUGAAAUGUUGGGUUAAGUCCCGCAACGAGCGCAACCCUUAUCCUUUGUUGCCAGCGGUUAGGCCGGGAACUCAAAGGAGACUGCCAGUGAUAAACUGGAGGAAGGUGGGGAUGACGUCAAGUCAUCAUGGCCCUUACGACCAGGGCUACACACGUGCUACAAUGGCAUAUACAAAGAGAAGCGACCUCGCGAGAGCAAGCGGACCUCAUAAAGUAUGUCGUAGUCCGGAUUGGAGUCUGCAACUCGACUCCAUGAAGUCGGAAUCGCUAGUAAUCGUAGAUCAGAAUGCUACGGUGAAUACGUUCCCGGGCCUUGUACACACCGCCCGUCACACCAUGGGAGUGGGUUGCAAAAGAAGUAGGUAGCUUAACCUUCGGGAGGGCGCUUACCACUUUGUGAUUCAUGACUGGGGUGAAGUCGUAACAAGGUAACCGUAGGGGAACCUGCGGUUGGAUCACCUCCUU
rnacentral:rRNA from 2 species